AAGGACUAGAGUGAGUGAGGACGUGGCAAUUUUAUCGCCCAUGUAUUUGACAGUUUGCAGUUGACUCUUGGCGUAUCCUUUAUCCGUUGUUUCUUCCUCAAGCUUCUUUUCUCUGAUUUUCUUUCUGUUUUCUCUUUUUCAUGCUAAUUUCUACUCUGUUUCUUAUCUGAUGCCGGUGUCCGAUUGCCUGACCGAGUAAGAUUCGGGGGGCCGGAUUCUCAUCCGCAAUUGGCAAUCUAAUGGAUUCCCCGAUUCGGAUCAACAACGCGGCUAUUUCACGUGGUAAAAGCAUAUGGUUUGUACGAGCGUUCAUUCAAUGGAGCCAACCAAAAGCAGUUUCCUUUUGCGUAAACAGCAGAAGAGAGUGAAUUCAUCAAAAUAUAUGAGGAAAGAUUUAAAAGGUUGAAAGCAGAGAUGAAAGACAUAAGCAAAGAGCAGCAAAGCAUUAAGGAAGGGCAAAGGCAAGUUCGAGCCAAACUCGAAGCAAUCAAAGAAGAAUGCAAUCAGCUACAGAAGGAAACUAACCAAAUUAUCCAACAAAGUGCCAACACUCAAAUACGUCUGGGUGUGAUGUUCAAUAUCUUAAAGGCCCGAGAACAAGGUGAUUUCGACAAGGCUGCUCAAUUAACUCGGCUACUUCGGGAAAUAGUAGCCAAAGACAAUUGCAAAAACAAAGCAUGCCUAUAGUAGUUCAAAGAUCAAAUUUGAACUUUUCUUUCUGAGGAGAUGGUAUCAAGUUUAUCAAAACAAAAAAAAAAUAUUUAGUCUGCAUCGAUCGUCAAGGCCAAAAAUGAAAGCCAAUUAAACUUUUAAAUGUUAUUUUUAUCAAACUUUAAUAUUUUUUUAAGACAUUUUUAUAUGUAAAAUUCCUUAUAUGUACUUGAAGGGUUGUUAAGUAUUGUCUAUAAAUAUAUGAUGUAAACAAUCAGAGUGUGAUGUAUUCUUAUUGUUUUGCAAUAAAAUUCCUUUCUUAUGGCAAAAAAAGUGUAGCAAUUUGGAUUAUUCCCCGAAAGUGAUUAAGCAUUCCACUUGACAAUAGGUGAAAGAUUCAAUUUAAAUAUAAGAUCAUAUAAAUUUUAAAAUGGUCUUCAUUAGGAAUUACAUAAAAUUUGUGUUUUGAUAUCAUGUCAAGUAUCAAACUUAAAAUCAAAUGAUAGAAGAUAAAGGAACAAUAUUUAAGAGAUGUGAGAUAACAUCACUUUAACAUAAGUAACUAAUUAGUUCUUAGUCUUUUUGUCUCGUAAAAAGAUUUCUAAUUAGGUAUAUAGGGUUCUUAUGAAAGGCUUAUUAUGAAAUUAGGAUUUUAGGCAAAUACUACAUGUGAUCAAAUGUGGAACAAGAAUGGUAUUGUAAAUGCUGCAAUAAAUCGAUAUAUUCUAUGGCAACAUUGUAAGGUUUUUAAACUUAAAAGAAAUAUGAUGUCGCUAAACAAUGAUCUUAAUGAAAAAUCUAUAGCUAAACUUAAAACUUUUGCAAAUUGGUUGUUAGACAUUGAUGAUGGCAAGAUUGAAACUGUUUCAUAUGAAGAUGAAGAUGAAGUAUCAUGG